UCUCUUUCUCUCUUUCUCUCUCUCUUUCUCUCUCUCUUUCUCUCUCUCUUUCUCUCGCUCUUUCUUUCUCUCUCUCGCUCUUUCUCUCUUUCUUUCUCUCUCUCUUUCUUUCUUUCUCUCUCUUUCUCUCUCUCUCCCUUUCUUUCUCUCCCCCUUUCUUCCUCUCUUUCUUUCUCUCUCUCUUUCUCUCUCUCUCUUUCUCUCUCUCUUUCUCUCUCUCUCCCUUUCUUUCUCUCCCCCUUUCUUUCUCUCUUUCUUUCUCUCUCUCUUUCUCUCUCUCUUUCUUUCUCUCUCUCUUUCUCUCUCUCUUUCUUUCUCUCUCUCUUUCUUUCUCUCUUUCUUUCUCUCUUUCUUUCUAUCUUUCUUUCUCUCUUUCAAGUGACAGUGAGCACAGCAGCACUCCAACUGAAGUCUCGUACAAAGGAUUAGCAAUAAAGAAAAACCCUUGAAUGAGUAGGUGAGUCUAAGCCCUUGAAUGAGUAGGUGAGUCCAAGCCCUUGAAUGAGUAGGUGAGUCUAAGCCCUUGAAUGAGUAGGUGAGUCCAAGCACUUGAAUGAGUAGGUGAGUCCAAGCCCUUGAAUGAGUAGGUGAGUCUAAGCCCUUGAAUGAGUAGGUGAGUCCAAGCCCUUGAAUGAGUAGGUGAGUCUAAGCCCUUGAAUGAGUAGGUGAGUCUAAGCCCUUGAAUGAGUAGGUGAGUCUAAGCCCUUGAAUGAGUAGGUGAGUCCAAGCCCUUGAAUGAGUAGGUGAGUCCAAGCCCUUGAAUGAGUAGGUGAGUCUAAGCCCUUGAAUGAGUAGGUGAGUCUAAGCCCUUGAAUGAGUAGGUGAGUCUAAGCCCUUGAAUGAGUAGGUGAGUCCAAGCCCUUGAAUGAGUAGGUGAGUCUAAGCCCUUGAAUGAGUAGGUGAGUCUAAGCCCUUGAAUGAGUAGGUGAGUCUAAGCCCUUGAAUGAGUAGGUGAGUCCAAGCCCUUGAAUGAGUAGGUGAGUCUAAGCCCUUGAAUGAGUAGGUGAGUCUAAGCCCUUGAAUGAGUAGGUGAGUCUAAGCCCUUGAAUGAGUAGGUGAGUCUAAGCCCUUGAAUGAGUAGGUGAGUCCAAGCCCUUGAAUGAGUAGGUGAGUCCAAACGUUUGAUUAGUACUGUACUCUGAACAAAAAUAUACAUGCAAAAUGUAAAGUGUUGGUCCUAAUGUUUCAUGAGAAGAGGUAAUGGCUCCCGAAUGGCUCAGCAGUCUAAAGGCACUGCAUCUCAGUGCUUGAGGCGUCAUUGCAUACACCCUGGUUCGAAUCCAGGCUGUAUCACAACCGGCCGUGAUUGGGAGUCUCAUAGGGCGGAGCACAAUUGGCCCAGCGUCGUUCGGGUUUAGCCGGAGUAGGUCGUCAUUGUAAAUAAGAAUUAGUUAUUUAACUGACUUGCCUGGUUAAAUUAAAGUUGAACUAAAACUUUACAUCGUGGUGUUAUAACGGUUAGCCUGUACUUGUCACGAUCGUUGUUGUAAAUCGACCACAGUGUUUAAUUUAUGAAACUCACCAAAACAGUACAGAAGAAAGAAAUGACCGUGAAGCUAUGUAGUGCUCACAAACAACAUAAAACAAGAUCCCACAACAAACAGGUGGAGAAAAGGCUGCCUAAAUAUGAUCCCCAAUCAGAGACAACGAUAAACAACUGCCUCUGAUUGGAACCAUACCAGGCCAACAUAGAAAUACAAAAACUAGAGUACUGACCUGAGUCACACCCUGACCUAACCAAAUUAGAGAAUAAAAGGCUCUCUAAGGUCAGGGCGUGACAGUGCUACAUGCUACAUUGCGGUCCUAUAACUGUUAGCCUGUACUACAUGCAAAAUUGUGGUGCAUUCCACAAGCUUCCCUCAAUAAGUUGGGUGAAUUUUGGCCCAUUCCUCCUGACAGAGCUGGUGUAACUGAGUCAGGUUUGUAGGCCUCCACAUGAUGCCAUCUAUUUUGCAAAGUGCACCAGUCCCUCCCUCCUCCAGUCCCUUUUGUUUCAUCAGACCAGAGGACAUUUCUCCAAAAAGUACAAUCUUUGUCCCCAUGUGAAGUUGCAAACCGUAGUCUUUUUUUUUAUGGCGGAUUUGGAGCAGUGGCUUCUUCCUUGCUGAGCGGACAGGUUAUGUCGAUAUAGGACUCGUUUUACUGUGGAUAUAGAUACAUUUGCAUCUGUUUCCUCCAGCAUCUUCACAAGGUCCUUUGCUGUUGUUCUGGGAUUGAUAUGCACUUUUCUCACCACAGUACGUUCAUCUCCAGGAGACAGAACACAUCUCCUUCCUGAGUGGUAUGACGGCUGCGUGGUCCCAUGGUGUUUAUGCUGGCGUACUGUUGUUUGUACAGAUGAACGUGGUACCUUCAGGCGUUUGGAAAUUGCUCCCAAGGAUGAACCAGACUUUUGGAGGGCUACAAUUUUUUUGCUGAGGUCUUGGUUGAUUUAUUUUGAUUUUCCCAUGAUGUCAAACAAAGAGACACUGAGUUUGAAGGUAGGCCUUGAAAUACAUCCACAGGUACACCUCCAACUGACAAAUGAUGCUAAUUAACCUAUCAGAAGCUUCUAAAGCCAUGACAUAAUUGUCUGGAAUUUUCCAAGCUGUUUAAAGGCACAGUCAACUUAGUGUAUGUAAACUUCUGACCCACUGGAAUUGUGAUACAGUGAAUUAUAAGUGAAAUAAUCUGUCUGUAAACAAUUGUUGGAAAAAUAACUUGUAUCAUGGACAAAGUAGAUGUCCUAACCGACUUGACAAAACUAUAGUUUGUUAACAAGACAUUUGUGGAGUGGUGACGUGAGUAACGACCCUGCUGACUUGAGUAACGACCCUGCUGACGUGAGUAACGACCCUGCUGACGUGAAUAACGACCCUGCUGACGUGAGUAACGACCCUGCUGACGUGAGUAACGACCCUGCUGA